AUCCAGCUGAUGAGUUCCAAAUAGGAUGAAACGUGCUUCAUGGAU
rnacentral:hammerhead_ribozyme from 1 species